rnacentral:rRNA from 1 species
AACAUUAGCACCGAGUGCUUCCCGUCCAGGGGACCGUGGUUCUGCACCUCGACCACCGCCGGGAACUUGAGCUGCUCGCACCCGUCGGCUCCGAUCUCCUCGACCACGUAG